UACAGAGGGUGCAAACGUUGCUCGGAAUCACUGGGCGUAAAGGGUGCGUAGGCGGGUCUUUAAGUCAGGGGUGAAAUCCUGGAGCUCAACUCCAGAACCGCCUUUGAUACUGAGGAUCUUGAGUUCGGGAGAGGUGAGUGGAACUGCGAGUGUAGAGGUGAAAUUCGUAGAUAUUCGCAAGAACACCAGUGGCGAAGGCGGCUCACUGGCCCGAUACUGACGCUGAGGCACGAAAGCGUGGGGAGCAAACAGG
rnacentral:rRNA from 1 species